rnacentral:rRNA from 1 species
AGAGAGAGACAUGCGCGCAUAUCAAUAAGCGGAGGAAAAGAAACUAACAAGGAUUCCCUUAGUAACGGCGAGUGAAGCGGGAAGAGCUCAAAUUUGAAAUCUUCAAGGUUUUACCUUGACGAAUUGUAGUUUAAAGAAGUGUUUUCUGCUGAAGUUUUGGUAAAAGUUCUUUGGAAUAGGACAUCAUAGAGGGUGAGAAUCCCGUAUUUGACCAUUAUUUUCAGCUUUGUGAUACACUUUCAAAGAGUCGGAUUGUUUGGGAAUGCAGUCCAAAAUGGGUGGUAAAUUUCAUCUAAAGCUAAAUAUUGGCGAGAGACCGAUAGUGAACAAGUACCGUGAGGGGAAGAUGAAAAGAACUUUGAAAAGAGAGUUAAACAGUACGUGAAAUUGUCAAAAGGGAAGCGUUUGACACCAGUGUUGUUUUCUCGAAAAUCAAUUAAAAAUGGCUCGAUUUUGUAUUGCUGAGACCUUAAAAGCUCACUGUACAUUUUUCGUGUCUUUUUUAAUGCACUUUUCGUUUAACAAGUCAACAUCAGUUUCUUUUGUUGUAAAAGGGUCAUUGGAAGGUGGCUUUCUUUUCGGAGAAAGUGUUUAUAGCCUUUGGCCUCUGCAAUCGGAAGAGACUGAGGUCUGCAGCGUAGACUCUUCGGGGUUAGAUACAUUUGUGCUAAGUUAUAGCUUUUUAUAGACAACUUGUUGACUAUAAUUAGUCUUGUAGCUUACUCGCUUAUGCUAUUUUACCUACGCUUAGGAUGUUGAGUCGUAGAGCACGCAG